rnacentral:rRNA from 1 species
CAAUAGCGUAUAUUAAAGUUGUUGCAGUUAAAAAGCUCGUAGUUGGAUUUCGGGGCAGCCUGGCUGGUCCGCCGCAAGGCAAGUACUGGUCAGCCGCCCUUCCUCUCGAAAGCCCCGACUGCUCUUUACUGCAGUGGUCGGGUAGUUCGGGACGUUUACUUUGAAAAAAUUAGAGUGUUCAAGGCAGGCCGUCGCCUGAAUACAUUAGCAUGGAAUAAUGGAAGAGGACCUCGGUCCUAUUUUGUUGGUUUCCAGGGCCGAAGUAAUGAUUAAGAGGGACAGUUGGGGGCAUUCGUAUUUAAUUGUCAGAGGUGAAAUUCUCGGAUUUAUGAAAGACGGACAACUGCGAAAGCAUUUGCCAAGGAUGUUUUCAUUAA